AAUGUACUCCCUCCGUUCAAAAAUAGUUGUUCUAGAAAUGAAUAAAAUAAAUGUAUCUAUAACUAAAAUAAGUUUAGAUACAUUCAUUUCUAGGACAAAUAUUUCUGGACGGAGGGAGUACUUC
rfam:Hordeum vulgare subsp. vulgare, WGS project CAJW01000000 data, contig: morex_contig_158604